UUGAAUUUCAAAUGAAGAAUAAAAGAAUAAUUUAGAGACUGAAGCAAUGAUUUGGGAAAAAGUUCUUUAUUUUAUGCUAACCAAAUCCUUAGUCAUCCUUGCCUGUUAUGGCAACUUCACUGUGUUCUAAUUCUCUAACGUUGAUCCCUGUAUUUUUUUUUUUUAGUUUGGACAGGCAGACUUCAUUUAGACUGUUUUGUUAAUUGUAAUUUGUAAGUAGGUGUUUUUGCUAUUUAGACAAUGUAGAGUGAUUCUCAUUAUAACAAUCAGGGAAGUCAGCCAUUUUUAUUUCAAGAAACUUAAGAUGAACGAAAGUAAGAAAGUCUUUUUUAUUAAUUUUAAAUGUAAUUGGUUACCUUAUUUGCAGGUGACAAAAACUAUAUGUCCCAGAGCUUAAAGUAAGAAAGUCUUUUCUAUUUUUGGUAUACAUGGAUGAAUAAGGUUAAUUAUGAAUUACAAUAUAGUAUAAAACUUGCGAAGAGAACCUAGAGCUUAAUUCUUUUAUUUUUCUUAAUUCAAAUGGAGAAUAUAUGCUCUAGACCCAGUUUGAGAUUGCUCUGGACUUUUGAGUUUGUAUCAUAAUAUCCAAAGUCAAUAAUUUGAAAGUUCCUCAGUAAAGGUGAGAAAAGGUUUUAAACACCUGUUUAAGAUUUCAAUCCUAAUUGGGACUUAUUUAUAUACCUUAUUGUGUUUUUUUUACCUCUUUCAAGUGUUUGAUUUGGUCUUUGUUUUCUUUUUUAUUUCAUUUAGGUACUAUUCUAUAUAACAACGUGAAUUCUCCAUACCUGGUCAUUCAAAAGGGUUGCAUGCAUCUUUAAAUACAUUUUAAAUUGAGG